CCUACGGGAGGCAGCAGUGGGGGAUAUUGCACAAUGGGGGGAACCCUGAUGCAGCGACGCCGCGUGGGUGAAGGAGCGUUUCGGCGCGUAAAGCCCUAUCGGCAGGGAAGAAGGAGGACGGUACCUGACGAAGAAGCCCCGGCUAACUACGUGCCAGCAGCCGCGGUAAUAAGGAGGGGGCAAGCGUUAUCCGGAUUUACUGGGUGUAAAGGGGGCGCAGACGGCAGCGCAAGCCAGGUGUGAAAGGCCGGGGCCCAACCCCGGGACUGCUUGUGAAACUGGGCGGCUGGAGUGCAGGUGGGGCAGGCGGAAUUCCUGGUGUAGCGGUGAAAUGCGUAGAUAUCAGGCGGAACACCGGUGGCGAAGGCGGCCUGCUGGACUGCGACUGACGUUGAGGCCCGAAAGCGUGGGGAGCAAACAGGAUUAGAUACCCCAGUAGUC
rnacentral:rRNA from 1 species